UACGUAGGUGGCAAGCGUUGUCCGGAAUUAUUGGGCGUAAAGCGCGCGCAGGCGGUCCUUUAAGUCUGAUGUGAAAGCCCACGGCUCAACCGUGGAGGGUCAUUGGAAACUGGGGGACUUGAGUACAGAAGAGAAGAGUGGAAUUCCACGUGUAGCGGUGAAAUGCGUAGAGAUGUGGAGGAACACCAGUGGCGAAGGCGGCUCACUGGCCCGUAACUGACGCUGAGGCACGAAAGCGUGGGGAGCAAACAGG
rnacentral:rRNA from 1 species